rnacentral:rRNA from 1 species
ACAUAACUGAUGCCUCCGCGUAUCGACUUUGUGCGCAUUUUAGCUAUUAUGUGUUCUUUUAAUUAAAAUGAUUCUUUUUAAGAUUCAUCUAUUAAAAAUUUGCUUCUGCAUAAUUUUUUUUGAUGAUCUUGUUACUUUGAGUAAAUUAGAGUGUUCAAAGCAAACCAGAUAUAGCAUUUGUGCGUUUGAAUACUACAGCAUGGAAUAACAAAAUUGAACCAAGUCAGAAUUUUUUUGUUCUUUUUUCUUAUUUUGGCUUAGUUACGAUUAAUAGGAGUAGCUUGGGGGCAUUUGUAUUCAGAUGUCAGAGGUGAAAUUCUUAGAUUUUCUGGAGACAAACAACUGCGAAAGCAUUUGCCUAAAAUACUUCCAUUAAUCAAGAACGAAAGUUAAGGGAGUGAAGACGAUCAGAUACCGUCGUAAUCUUAACCAUAAACUAUGCCGACUAGGCUUUGGAUGAAAGAUUUUAAAAUAAGAGUUUUUCUUUUCUCUCCGGAGAUUAGAACUCUUAGAUUGCUUCCUUCAGUGCCUUAUGAGAAAUCAAAGUCUUUGGGUUCUGGGGCGAGUAUUCGCGCAAGCGAGAAAGUUAAAAGAAUUGACGGAAGGGCACCACCAGGCGUGGAGCUUGCGGCUUAAUUUGACUCAACACGGGAAAACUCACUAGUUUAAGACAAGAGUAGGAUUGACAGAUUAAUAGCUCUUUCUUGAUUUCUUGGAUGGUGAUGCAUGGCCGUUUUUAGUUCGUGAAUAUGAUUUGUCUGGUUAAUUCCGAUAACGAACGAGAUCUUAACCUGCUAAUUAGCGGCAAAUACGAUAUAUUCUUAUGUAGAAUUGAAUACAGGGGAUUUGUUAGAUUUUGAAGAAAAUAUUGGAAAUACGUUAAAUGUGAUUCCCUUUCCCUUUUCUACUUAAUUUACAUUUCCAUCUAUUUCUUUUUUGCGUAUGAAUGUAUUUGCUUGAUUGUAAAGCUUCUUAGAGGAACGAUGUGUG